rnacentral:lncRNA from 1 species
UUUUAAUGUUUUGUCACGCGUAGCUCCAACAGUAUUUGACGUAGAGUCACAAAACUUUACAGGAUUGUUGUAUCUUAAAAGUUGUUAAACCCGAGUCAUUAAACCAUGUUACAGUGUCAGGAGUUGGGGGCACCUGUGUCCUAUGGACACACAUCUAGUUCCUUCACAUGUUUUGUAAAUAAUUCUUUCAUGAUUUUGGUCUCCUUUCAAGGUUUUAGGUCCAACACCUCAAGAAUCUUUUUAUGUAUUUCAUCUUAAGAUUGUUUGUCAAGAGAAGUCUUUCUGUGCUUUUCAUAAUAUAUAACAUUUCUUUUUUAUGAACUAUGCCAUCAGCAACAAAUGCUUGAUAGUAAGCUUUCUGCAUUGAAAUUUUCCAGUUCACCGCAAAAUUUAAUUUUACCAUUUAAACUUGUGUGUUCAUUUUUUUUGCUUGUGAUAUAGCAAAUAUUGUCUACUCCUUAACACUUCUCUUAUCGCAUUAUUUCUUGGUAAUAUACUUUCGGUUGCUGACUGUACUUCACAAUUUCAGUACAACCAGAUGCUGUCUGCAGAAACUUCUUUUUAACCUUCAGAAAAAAAUUAAAUAACAUAUUACACACCUUUUCUUGGCAAUGGCUAGUCAAAACAUGUGUGGGGCGGAGGUGGAGCUCAGGGUGGUUGCAGAGAGUGGGAAAUCAUCUUCUCUAUCUCUGUCACCAGUAGCCUUCAGACAUGUGAAGCUGCAGACAGGCGAGAGCAGCUUCGCAUGUCAAACAAGAACAGUUGUAUCAUCCCCUCCACCCCAGACACACACCAAAGAAGAGAAAGGUGAUCAACAACAUGCCAGGGAAGAGACCUGCAGAGAAGGCUAUUAAGCCAGUGACAGCUGUCGACAACAAAUGCUCAGUUUGCUCCAUUAUAUUUAAUUCUAAAGUGGACAAACUUUUCAGGAAAAGCUGCCCAUAUCCAGUAACCUUCUACAGAGGAUUUUACAGUGUCUUACAAAUGGUACUAGCAACUCAUCAACUGCUGCAAGUUUAAUAUAGCAGAUUGACAUCAGUGGAGGUAACUAAAGUCGCGGAUCAGGACUAUGGCAUAACCUGCCAACAACAAAAAAAAAGAGAACAUUUUAGUGUGAUGUAAAAGGAAUGCAGAAUGUCUUAGAGACAAAUAACUACAGAAUUGAAGAGAUGCAGGCCUUUGUUCUACAUUGUGAAAGAGGGAAUUUUAGUGGAUUUUUGGAUUU